UACCUGGUGGCUCAGAUGGUAAAGCGUCUGUCUACAAUGCAGGAGAUCUGGGUUCGAUCCCUGGUUCGGGAA
rnacentral:tRNA from 1 species